CCAAAAUAGCAUGUUUAAGGAGAGGAGAAGCAAUGCUGAGGUUAUGGUAUUAUUUGACAGCCCGUUUUGUAAGUAAUGAAUGUUGGUAUUUUUAAUAGCAGCUUGCAGUGAUACGGGUAAACUACCUGAUAAACAAUUUAAUCAAGCAAUACGUUAAUUUGUGUGUAAUGUGUGCUUGUGUAGAACAGAUUACUGGGUAUAUAACGU